CUGCAGCUAUCAGUCACAUUUCAGAACACAAGACUUGCCUGCAGCACAAACACCCACAUUCGUCACCUCAUAUACCUCCUUAUAAACACACUGAACACACACAUCAGACACAGAUCAUUUGGGUUUCUGCACCAGGAAAAAACUUUCUACUGCACUUAUCAACAAGACAAGACAUCAUGAGUGAUAACCAGGUAU